UACAGAGGUCUCAAGCCGUUGUUCGGAUUCAUUGGGCGUAAAGGGCGCGUAGGCGCGGGGUAAGUCGGGUGUGAAAUCUCAGAGCUCAACUCUGAAACUGCACUCGAUACUGCUCUGCUUGAGGACUGGAGAGGAGACUGGAAUUCACGGUGUAGCAGUCGAAAUGCGUAGAUAUUGUGAGGAAGACCAGUGGCGAAGGCGGG
rnacentral:rRNA from 1 species